rnacentral:misc_RNA from 1 species
CGUCACGUCCGGAUAAACAAGCGCUGAGGUCCGCGCGUAUAUUUUGUAGCUUGAUUUCUAUGAUAAAUAUGCUAUAUGGAAAGGUGACAGCGAUUGAAAUGAAUAAAAUACAAUCCAUACUUACUAACAAAACCGACGAUUCGGAUUGACAACGAGAAGUAUGCGUAAAAAUAGCGAUACAACUAGCUGGAGUCAAUCUGGGUCGCCAGACGCUCAUAAAAGAUACAUCAAUAUUGAUGAACAUACAACAUCAGACCUGUACCACUGGCAUCCUGUACCUUCACCAGAACAGACCAGGUACCUCACAAGACAGAAAGUGUGUGUCCAGCAAAGCAUUCAGUGGUUGAAGCUCUAAUAUCAGCUUGGGUGGAAAGAACAAUGAAGAUACAGAACAGACAUAAGUUAAUGAGAUAUGAUAACCUGGAAGCUCCGAGAGGAUGUUAUACAAAAAUAUGAUAAGUGGACUUGAUAUUUUGCAAUUAGGUUUUAAGCUAGUGAACAAAAAAUCUAAAUUCCAGUACCAGUUAAGGUCACAGGAUAACAAUCUAGCUUUAUAGGUGCCUAUUUUGGACAUAUUACAUGUCCAGUCAUCUAUAAAUAAUUAAAACCACCUUGAUGGUUUCCUUGAAUGAAAGAUGUUUAACUUUAUAGAAUGACUGACUGCUGAUUUUUAUCAUAAUUAUACUUGUCUGUGUCAGAUGGUGACAAAAUUAAUAUAAAAUAUGUUUUUAAUAUCAUACUACAUGUAUACUACACUUGGAAAGAAAAAUAAAAUGGAACAAAAGGAAAUUUGUUGUUUCACGUGUUACAUCAAAAUAUCUUUAACUCUUGGACAUCAGAACUUAAGUUUUUGCUUGUGACUGCUUGUAAAACUAUUGUAUCUGAUGUCCUGUUGAUGAAAGAUAUUUUGAACUUGCACUGAAACAACCAAAUAUCCUGUAAAUACUUUCUCAAAACAUUUGAUAAAUUGUGUUGCUACAAUAACCUAACAUGAAGGAAGUGGGGGUUUUAUUAAUUGUAUUUUCAGGUUGUAGGAGUUUUAGUACAGACACAGAAGAGAGAAGGUGGCUAAAAAACCUCAGAGGGAUGAAAAUCUGAUCCGAUACUUUGUUGUGAAAAAGGGUAAAAUUCAUAUGGAACUCUGAAGAAGACAAAUACCAGAAGCUUAGAGGGUUAGAAGUUAACAAUACAUGUUCAUAUUUCCAUGAGGCGAAAGGUUUGAGCUGCGAACACCAAAGCAAAAGAAUUCCACAUUACAGGUCCAGAGUAUGAUAGGGAUUUGCGACAGAAUUCUGUGCGUGGUUUGGGGACAGCCAGUGAAGUGUAUGAAGUUCAGUUGUAAUGGUAAUGAGAUGCAGGUCUUUGUCCUACAUGGUGAGAGAAACAGUGUAUGGCAUUUUUGGAAAACAUGUUAUAGAUUUUAGAAAAAUUUGCUGACAUAAAGCUGUUGGACAUAGUUUGUGAGCCUGCUCUCAAGGCAUAUAAUAGCGAUUUGGCGGUUUAAUCCAUAGAAUUAGAGCGGAUCAGGUUUAAGAGGGAAAUUUACCACAGGAGGAAAAUUACAGAAAACGACUGGAUGUCUUUGCUACCAGUGGUAGUAGGGCCAGGAGACCAUUCUACAAUGUUUAAAAAAGUAAAGUCUCAGUAUAGACACAGAUGAUGUGUUACUAAUUGCCGAAGAACUUGACGUGGCUAGGGAAGGUGUAUGUGAUGAUGAUGGUGACAGUGACGACAAUGCCGCUGAUGAUGAGGACUACAUGCACAGACAAGACCUCAUUGCUGUCAAAACAGAGCUUAUAGACUUAUGAUGGACCUUGUUGAAUAAUAAUUACUGAAAAUAUGUAAUAAUACUUGAGCAAAGUUGAAUAAUAUGACUGACGUUUUCUUAAAUUGCUCAACAGGCAGUAGGACCACCUGAAAUCUUGUCAGACCAGCAGUUUGCAAAAGUUGCUGGUCCUUUGGGCCACCACAUAAAAAAAGUUAGUGUCGACGACUGAGCUUAACUGGCUGAACAGAUUAUGGCACCAUUACGUAGUAUUUGUUGUAGUGUGCCAAUGAGAGCAUUUGUCCAUUCAGCAUUGGAUUACGUGGGACCUUUCAUUACUGUCAAAUGUUGAGGAAAACAGCCUGAAAUGAGAUAUUUAUGUCUGUUUACUUGUCUGAACACAUGGGCUGUUCAUCUUGAAAUCUCAUUUGGAAUAGAUACUGAUGCAUUUCUAAAUUCAUUUUAUCAAUUUGCUGGUCAUAGAGGUCUGCCAGGAACAGUUCUGUCGGAUAAUUAAACAAACUUUGUCGAUAGUGAAAAGGAACUCAGAUAAUUAGUAAACGCGCUGAAUCAUUAUCAAAUAAAAGAAAAGACAGCAAAUAAAGGAGUUCAGUGGCAUUUCAUUCCUACAUUAGCGCCACAUUUGGGAGGUGUACCGGUACAUGAAAUCAUGGUGAAAAGUGCUAAACGAGCCAUUAAUUCCAUGUUACAGAAUGCUUCAGUGUCAGAUGAGGAACUUAUGACCACAUUAAUUUUGUAGGAGCAGAAGAUUUGAGACCUCUUAUUCAUUAGUCAGCUAACCCUGCAUACCUCUUACUCCAAAUCAUUUCCAACAUGGACAAAUAGGAGGAGAGUUCGCUCCUGAGAGCCUUGAUACAAAUGAUUUCAACCUUAGAAAUGGUGCGAGUUCAAGAGUUAGUGCGAAACUUUUGGGGUUGUUGGAUUUGUGAGUGGUUGCCAAACCUAUGUACCUCCAAGAAAUGGAACAGAGUUUGACCAGAUCUGAAAGUUGGAGAUGCCGUUAUCAUGGUAUAGCCUGGUGCGCCUCGAGCACAUUGGCCUUUAGGUCGUGUUACACACAUUCAUACAAGUCACGAUGGUCAUGUGAGAGCAGUAAACAUUUUAGUAAAUGGUAGAGAUUCAGACAGCCCAUUAAAAAGUUAUGCCCAUUAAAAAUUUACAUCAGUGAUUAACAGUAAUGUGUUACGCAGAAAUAUUGCAUUUUAUAUGACGAAAAGUGUAAAUAUUCCCGCACGUGGAGAGCAUAAUAAUCCCUCAAAAUGAUUUCGUGUGUGGAGGGCAUAAUAAUCCCUCAAAAAUAAUUUCGUUUGUGGAGGGCAUAAUAAUCCCUCAAAAUGAUUACGUGUGUGGAGGGCAUAAUAAUCCCUCAAAAAUAGUUUCGCUUGUGGAGGGCAUAAUAAUCCCUCAAAAUGAUUUCGUGUGUGGAGGGCAUAAUUAUCCCUCAAAAUGAUUUCAUGUGUGGAGGGCAUAAUAAUCCCUCAAAAAUAAUUUUGCUUGUGGAGGGCAUAAUAAUCCCUCAAUAUAUUUUAAGAUAAAGAAAUAUCUGAAACAUUAUAUUAUAAUCUUGGAGAAAGAGAAGACAUUUUUCUCUUUCAGGAAAAAUGAAGAUGCACUGUAUAAAAAGAUGAAGAAGGUUGUAAUAUCAUUACUAUAUAUUGUAAUUUUUGACAUGCAUAUAUUUUCAGACAUAUAAUUGAAUUAUUGUAUCACAUAAGGCAAUUUUUCAAAAUGUUUAAAUCAAUGAUACAAAAUUAAAAACAUGAAUACUUUUAUUAUUUUAACGCAUUGUAUUAAACUGUGUAAUACCAAAAGGUUAUAAAUUUUGUCAAAAUUAAUGUAAUAGCUGAUAGUCAAUCUUUAAAAUAGUAUACAUUAUAGUACUGAAAACUGGAAAAAGUAACAGUGUUGCUGUAUAUUUCAAUGUUAUAGUGAGUUACUAGAAAGCACAUGUACAUUUCAAGUUCUUGUUGAAAGUACUGGUUUAACAAGGAAAAUACUAGGUAGUUUGUUGUUUUCAUGAAACUCGUGUAUGGUAUUUAAAAGAGAAUCAUGUUUAUAUACAUUUUGUUUAAAAUUUGGAUUUCAGUGAACAUGUAUAGUUUAAUUUAAGGUAGUUCUGCACGUUUGAUAAACCGGAAGUGAUGGCGUUACGUCAUUUAUCCGGAAAACGUAGAAUAAAGCCUGGAUUCGGCGUACGGAAAUGAAAAUAAUUUUAUGAUUUAAUCGAA